rnacentral:tRNA from 1 species
GCCGCCGUAGCUCAGCGGAGGAGCGGCUGAUUCGUAAUCAGCAGGUCGCGGGUUCAAAUCCCGCCGGCGGCU